AUGAAAUGGCUAGUCUCAUUGGUUAUAUCUGGUUUCAAUGAAUUGAUAGGACCGCGGCCAAAAGAACGUCGAUAACCGUAAGAAACAGAAGACAAAACACAUAAUCAGAUCAAAAUCUUACUCGCAAGUUAGUUUUGAGAAGAGAAACUUGGAAACUGGAGAAGAGCCAGAUUGUAUUGCUCUAUGGGAACUCACCCACACAAACGAUGGAACAUGGUCUAACACAGAUUCCCAGAAAGUUUACGACAAAGCACUUCAAGAGGUUAAAAACAAAGAAACUGAAACUGAAGGUCCACUUUCAAGUGAGCAGAAAAACAAUAUUUUCUAGACCGCUUGCAAAGACACUCUGGAAUGCAAGUCAUUGCAGCCUCGUGGGUACGGAUACGUGGCCAAAACUUCAACUGGUUCUGAAAGGUUCCGUAUCCAGAUUGAAGAGCAAGCUCGUGCUACAGCAGCCACCCAGGAGCGAAACUCUCAGCUCAGCCAGCAGGUCAACGACUUAGAAGAUCAACUACAAGCUGAACGUGCUAACACACAAGAGAGGAUUAACUUGGAGCGUGCUGAGAGAGAACAACUUGAGGAGAGGUUAAAAGAAGAGCGUGCUGAAAGGGAAAGAUUGUUGCAAGAGGAGCGAACAUCAAGACUGGAAUUUGAAAAA